rnacentral:rRNA from 1 species
UACAGAGGUCUCAAGCGUUUGUUCGGAUUCAUUGGGCGUAAAGGGUGCGUAGGCGGCGCGGUAAGUCGGGUGUGAAAUCUUGGGCUUAACUCCGAAACUGCAUUCGAUACUGCCGUGCUUGAGGACUGGAGAGGAGACUGGAAUUUACGGUGUAGCGGUGAAAUGCGUAGAUAUCGUAAGGAAGACCAGUGGCGAAGGCGGGUCUCUGGACAGUUCCUGACGCUGAGGCACGAAG